rnacentral:rRNA from 1 species
CCAAGCCCUUAAUCUCUGCUGCGUGGCGGCGGCGAAUUGUAGUCUGGAGACGGGUCAUCUCGUCGUGUUUGCCUCCCGAAGUCGUCGUGGAAAGGCGCGCCCGAGAGGGUGAGAGCCCCGUGGUCGGGAACGCAAGGACGUCGUGACGAGGCCCUGUCUUAGAGUCGGGUUGUUUGGGAAUGCAGCCCAAAGCGGGUGGUAAACUCCAUCCAAGGCUAAGUACGGGCACGAGACCGAUAGCGAACAAGUACCGUGAGGGAAAGAUGAAAAGCACUUUGAAAAGAGAGUCAAAUAGUGCGUGAAACCGUUGGUAGGGAAGAGAAUGCGGGUGACUUUCCUCUCGUGCGGGUUCAGGCGGCAGCGCGUUUGCCGCAGGCAGUUUGGAUCCCCCGGGACUGUCUGCCUGUGGAGCGUCUGUGCAGCUUUGCAGCAUUCCCGUCGAGAGCGGUCAGCGAGAGUUCGACGGCGCUCCAAGAGUCUGCGUCGGAAGUCGGUGCGAUCCCCCGGGAUCGCUCUCUGUCUGCGCGGUACCGGAGCGCCUAGGACUGAGGACAGUGGCGUCCCUCGCCCGAGCAGCGCAAGCCCCAGGGCCGGACGGGCCACGCCGGUGGAGGUCGCCCUUGGAGACUGCGUGCAGUGUCGUCGGGUCGAUCGAAGUCGAGGUGGUUGCGGUCACGAUUGGCGCUUGGGUCGCUGGCCUCCCGUCGCCCCCAUCCGUCCCGUCUUGAAACACGGACCAAGGAGUGCAACCCGUGCGCGAGUCUUGGGGCGUGAAACCCCGGGGCCCAGUGAGAGCAAAGGCGCGCCUGGACGCGCCGAGGUGGGAGCCGUUCGAGACCGAGCGGUGCACCAUCGACCGAUUCCGUCCACUCCGUGGUGGGAUUCGAGUGAGAGCGUGCCUGUUGCGACCCGAAAGAUGGUGAACUAUGCCCGAGCAGGGCGAAGCCAGGGGAAACCCUGGUGGAGGCCCGCAGCGAUUCUGACGUGCAAAUCGAUCGUCUGAUUUGGGUAUAGGGGCGAAAGACUAAUCGAACCAUCUAGUAGCUGGUUCCCUCCGAAGUUUCCCUUAGGAUAGCUGGAACCCUCUCGUUUGAGCAGUUUUAUCAGGUAAAGCGAAUGAUUAGAGGCCUUGGGGUUGAAACAACCUCAACCUAUUCUCAAACUUUAAAUAGGUAAGAAGGCGGUCUUGCUCGACUGAAGUCCGCCGUUGAAUGCUCGGGUUCCAAGUGGGCCAUUUUUGGUAAGCAGAACUGGCGAUGCGGGAUGAACCGAAAGCCGGGUUAAGGUGCCGAAGUCGACGCUCAUCAGACCCCAGAAAAGGUGUUGGUCGAUCCAGACAGCAGGACGGUGGCCAUAAAAGUCGGAAUCCGCUAAGGAGUGUGUAACAACUCACCUGCCGAAUCAACCAGCCCUGAAAAUGGAUGGCGCUGAAGCGUCGCACCCACCCCCGGCCGUCGGGGCUAGAAGUUGUCGGUCCCGACGUGUAGGAGGGCGCGUCGGUGGUGGAGCAGCCCUGGGCGCGAGCCCGGGUCGAACCGCCGUCGGUGCAGAUCUUGGUGGUAGUAGCAACUAUUCAAAUGAGAACUUUGAAGACUGAAGUGGGGAAAGGUUCCAUGUGAACAGCAGUUGGACAUGGGUGAGUCGGUCCUAAGGGCCAGGUCAACUCCGAUCAGGCGCGCCCGGGCGUGUUCCUCGCGUGUGCGUCCCAGGCGCCUUUGCCCGAAAGGGAAUCGGGUCAAUAUUCCCGAACCGGAACGCGGAUAGGGGGUUCGGUCCUCGCGGCUGUUCCCCGGGGCGGCAACGCAAGCGAACUCGGAGACGUUGGCGCGAGCUCCGGGAAGAGUUUUCUUUUCUUCUUGACGGGUCCAUCCCCUGGAAUGGGUUUGCCCCGAGAUAGGGUGGCGCGCCCGGCAAAGCGCCGCACCUCUUGCGGCGUCCGGUGCGCUGGCGCCAGCCCGUGAAAAUCCGAGGGAGCGAGCGAUUCUCGCGUCCGGCCGUACUCAUAACCGCAGCAGGUCUCCAAGGUGAACAGCCUCUAGUCGAUAGAACAAUGUAGGUAAGGGAAGUCGGCAAAUUGGAUCCGUAACUUCGGGACAAGGAUUGGCUCUAAGGGCUGGGUCUGUCGGGCUUCGCGCCGGAAGGCGACGGCGCGUCUCGCUUCUGGGUGAGCGGCUCCCCUCCGGGGGGGCAGCAAUCUCGGGAGCUUGCUGCGCUGACGCCCGAAGGUCGAAGCUUGGCCUUAGCGGGCCGAUCGGCAGGCGACGAACAGCCGCCUUAGAACUGGAACGGACAAGGGGAAUCCGACUGUUUAAUUAAAACAAAGCAUUGCGAUGGCCGAAACCGGUGUUGACGCAAUGUGAUUUCUGCCCAGUGCUCUGAAUGUCAAAGUGAAGAAAUUCAACCAAGCACGGGUAAACGGCGGGAGUAACUAUGACUCUCUUAAGGUAGCCAAAUGCCUCGUCAUCUAAUUAGUGACGCGCAUGAAUGGAUUAACGAGAUUCCCACUGUCCCUAUCUACUAUCUAGCGAAACCGCAGCCAAGGGAACGGACUUGGCGAAAUCAGCGGGGAAAGAAGACCCUGUUGAGCUUGACUCUAGUUCGACUCUGUGAAAAGACAUGAGAGGUGUAGGAUAGGUGGGAGCCUCGGCGCCGGUGAAAUACCACUACUUUCAUCGUUUUUUUACUUAUUCAAUGGUGCGGAAGCGGGCCUUCCGGCCCACCUUCUGGCGUUAAGGCACCCCGGCGUGCCGAUCCGAGUUGAAGACCGUGUCAGAUGGGGAGUUUGGCUGGGGCG